UACGAAGGGGGCUAGCGUUGCUCGGAAUCACUGGGCGUAAAGCGCACGUAGGCGGCUUUUUAAGUCAGGGGUGAAAUCCUGGAGCUCAACUCCAGAACUGCCUUUGAUACUGGGAAGCUUGAGUCCGGGAGAGGUGAGUGGAACUCCGAGUGUAGAGGUGAAAUUCGUAGAUAUUCGCAAGAACACCAGUGGCGAAGGCGGCUCACUGGCCCGAUACUGACGCUGAGGUGCGAAAGCGUGGGGAGCAAACAGG
rnacentral:rRNA from 1 species